UACAAUAUUAUUUAUUUAAAUUUACAUCAUUAUAAUAUUUAGGGUCAGACCCUACAGUAUUGAGAUUAAGAAAUCAAAUAUUCUAUAAAAUGUAAAUACACUGAACUCAUUUGGAUAUAUUUAAGUGAGACUCUACAAUAUUAUUUAUGACACAAAUCUAUCUAAAUCCAAAUUUUAAUCAUGUUUACUCCAAACAUUUACUGGACUGAUUUAAAUAUUAAAAUCACUCCUUUCUAAUCCUCUGCUGUACGUUCAAACCUGAGGCCUUAAAUAGAAACACACAAGUAUCUGAUUGAAGGAACUUCUGCAGAGUCCUGGUUCCAGAACAUGAUGAUAGAAUUAUAGACAAACUUUAACAAAAGCUGCCUGAGAGUUUACAGGUUUUUAUGUUAGAUUUCUUCACUAAUUUAAUGAGUUAUCAGCAAAAAUCAAGUGUUUAUUUGAUGAACUUCAUUUCCUAAAACAUCCAGAAUUGGAGCUCAUAUCUUUGGCAGCUGUAAAGUUUCUGCUCCUUCAAAGUUCACAACACAAUGAAUGAAUUCCUAAAACACUCUCAAUGCUGGAGAGCGUUUGAUGCUGAAGCAGUGAUCAGUUUUUCUGUUUCUUCUCUGGAGAUGCACAAUGAGGGACGUCUGCAGAGACUGAGAAAGAGUCUCACCACAUCCUGACAUGAGGAAAAAGACUUUAUUGAAGACUACAAUGAGAAAAACUAUCCAAACAGCAGACGGCUGCAUUCAAGUCUGUAGCUGCUGAAUUCAUGGAUGAAUCAUCUGGCACUAGAGAGGAAGACCAUCAAACAUCCACAUCAGCUGAUGGAGGUCCAAGAGUCUCACCAAACAACCAACCCACAGAGUGAAGACCUCCAAUCUGAUUGGACGGCCUCCUAUUCAGCCACGUGUGAACAAAUGCCUCUAAGCUGAUUUGUUUUCUAAAAUAAAUCUAGUUUGAAUCCUAAUCUAUGCCUGAGUGUUUGCUUCUUUACACCGCUGUUAACAGUUUAGGCUGUUAGAUUGUUCCAGAUACGACAAGUACAAGAUACACUAUAUUGCC
ensembl:lncRNA